UGGGGAAUCUUGCGCAAUGGGCGAAAGCCUGACGCAGCGACGCCGCGUGAGCGAUGAAGGCCCUCGGGUCGUAAAGCUCUGUGGGGAGGAAAGAAUAAGGACAGGCGAAUACCCUGUUUGAUGACGGUACCUCCUUAGCAAGCACCGGCUAACUCUGUGCCAGCAGCCGCGGUAAUACAGAGGGUGCAAACGUUGUUCGGAAUCACUGGGCGUAAAGCGGGUGUAGGCGGCUUGGUAAGUCGGAUGUGAAAUCCCAGGGCUCAACCCUGGACGUGCACUCGAAACUACUGAGCUUGAGUUCUGGAGAGGAAGGCGGAAUGCUUGGUGUAGAGGUGAAAUUCGUAGAUAUCAAGCGGAACACCGGUGGCGAAGGCGGCCUUCUGGACAGUGACUGACGCUGAG
rnacentral:rRNA from 1 species